rnacentral:tRNA from 1 species
GGAGAGAUGGCCGAGCGGACGAAGGCGGCGGUCUUGAAAACCGCUGAUGGUUAUGCCAUCCGGGGGUUCGAAUCCCUCUCUCUCCG